UUCGGCAGCACAUAUACUAAAAAAAAAAAAAUUGGAACGACGCAGAGAAGAUUAGCAUGGCCCUGUGCAAGGAUGACAUGCACAUUCGUGAAGCGUUCCAUGUUAAA